rnacentral:misc_RNA from 1 species
GGCACGAAGGUUGCAUGAACGACUUCAAGAGUGCAAUGGGGAUGAAAUUUUGAAGGCAGAAGCUGGUGCUAAGGUCCAGAAGUUUACUGAAUGGGCUCUAAAAUGUAUUGGUUUCCAUUCCCGCUGCCAAGGGAACAGGGAUAGGGUUCGGCACAAUCCUGCUGUUGAAAUACAACUACAGUUGUCGGCUUUCAAGACCUUCCUCGAUCUAGCUGGGAACCACCUUUCAGGAAAGGACUUCACAGAAGCAUUUGACGCAGCUUGCUUCCCACUUACACUCUUCUCUAGUUCAUUUGAUCCUGGC